rnacentral:misc_RNA from 1 species
GAUGAAGAACGUAGCGAAAUGCGAUAAGUAAUGUGAAUUGCAGAAUUCAGUGAAUCAUCGAAUCUUUGAACGCACAUUGCGCCCGCCAGUAUUCUGGCGGGCAUGCCUGUCCGAGCGUCAUUUCAACCCUCGGGCCCCCCUCUGCGGGCGGCCCGGCGUUGGGGCUCAGGCGCCGUCUCUGCUCGGCGCCUGUCCCCUAAAUGCAGUGGCGGCCUCGCCGCUGCCUCCUCCGCGUAGUAGCACAAACCUCGCGGCUGGAAGGCGGCGCGGCCACGCCGUAAAACCCCCCAACUUUACCAAGGUUGACCUCGGAUCAGGUAGGAAUACCCGCUGAACUUAAGCAUAUCAAUAAGCGGAGG